rnacentral:rRNA from 1 species
GAUGAACGCUAGCUACAGGCUUAACACAUGCAAGUCGAGGGGAAACGACAUCGAAAGCUUGCUUUUGAUGGGCGUCGACCGGCGCACGGGUGAGUAACGCGUAUCCAACCUGCCCAUCACUUGGGAAUAACCUUGCGAAAGUAAGACUAAUACCCAAUGAUAUCCCACGAAGGCAUCGGAAUGGGAUUAAAGAUUUAUCGGUGAUGGAUGGGGAUGCGUCUGAUUAGCUUGUUGGCGGGGUAACGGCCCACCAAGGCAACGAUCAGUAGGGGUUCUGAGAGGAAGGUCCCCCACAUUGGAACUGAGACACGGUCCAAACUCCUACGGGAGGCAGCAGUGAGGAAUAUUGGUCAAUGGGCGAGAGCCUGAACCAGCCAAGUAGCGUGCAGGAAGACGGCCCUAGGGGUUGUAAACUGCUUUUAUAAGGGAAUAAAGUGGGUCACGUGUGACUUUUUGCAGGUACCUUAUGAAUAAGGACCGGCUAAUUCCGUG